CUUAGCGAGAGGUUCUGGCUGUGACCAGUCAUGGCUGGACUCAGUCCAAUGGCCCUCGGCAGAGGAAUGAACUUUGUUUACGGAUGGGCCACGUGAGAACGUAGCUGCCCGCCUCACCCAAGUCAUGUGACGGGGUGGGGGCAAGUCUGAGGAUACUAUUUUAACCACUGUGGGGUGGACAGUUUUAUGAUACUCCUGGUAGGAAGCUAGACAGUUCCCCCCUGCAGAGGCUGCCACCCUAUGUUGGCGCCUUUCAAGGACUUCAAACAGGUGCAGCUAUUGACCAAGAGUUCCCACCUACCCACCAGUCUCGUAUCCUCUGGAGAGGGGUCCCCUUCCUCAGUGGAACAUCCUUGUUUUGACUCUUGCUCAUCUCUGCCUUAUUGACGGGGCUUUGUCCAGCCCAAGAGGAAGCCACUGGCUUCUGCUUCCCUCGCAACCUCCCACCAUAGCUUCAGGGAGGAAACUUUUUAAAAGUUCAUCAUGGUUUUGAAGUGAGCCUAGAGCUGCGGCAAAUGGCAACUUUAACGGGUUUGAUCAAUUUUACCACCUGCUGUUGUAUCUCACCUGGCACCUGCUCUCAUUUUUCCUCCCAGUGGUUCUCUCCCGUUCUCAGCUCCUUCUCUCCCCGUGGGUGACUCAUGCCAACAGGCUGUUGCAGCAACAAGGGAAAUUUCAUCCCAUGUCUACUGCUACCACGGGGAAGGAAGCCCAAACUCACUCCCUCGCCAUCCCUCCAGGUGGCAAUUCAGCAUGUGCUGUUUCACCACUAGACUGGGCACUACUAAACCUUUGUUCCUUGCUGCAUUAGUCUUCUCUAUCUGAGAUUCAGGAUCAGACAGAUUAAUGGGGAUAAGCCAGAGAUCUUUCUACUUUGAGGGACGUGAAAUGGGGCAAUCAGACAAGGCACCAAUAUUGUACAGGGGUAAAUUCCUAUUUUUUGUAUAUCAAACAAACACACCCUGAACUCAGAGCAAAUUUCCCCCAAGCAGCAAAGCAUGGCCCCUCCAUUGGAGAUGCCAGGACAGUAGGACAUCAGCAGUCCAUUUCUGUGGGACUUUGCCACAGGAAAGCAGAAACAAAGUUAAGAGGUGCUACAUGUGUUGGGUCCAAGACCCUGCUUGCAAAGAAGACUCCUUGAUGGCAGAUCUACACACACAUUGCUUUUGGAAGGCCUGAUGUCCUAGGUAUGAGGAGUCCGAUGGCAGAACUGUGUCUAAAAUCGAUGGACUUUCUAAACCAGCCCCUUCGUUCUGCAAGCUGGUACUAGAUGGAGCUGGAAUUGGGCUCUGUGCUACUUUUCCACGUUAAAUAUCAAAGACCAGAACUGGCUGCACUUUGACUAAAGCAUGAAGAUGGGACUCUGAGACAGGACGUUUGGACCUUCUUGCUCGUCAGGCCCGGCUAACAUACUGAGGAAGGCUUUACUGGAGGUGUGCCAGCAACAGUGUCCCACACCGCCGACAGCUGCACUUCAGCAACUGCAUAGCAUCCAUCACCUGAUUUAAUAGGCAGCAUCAGCCCGUGAGAGGAAAAGAGAAACUACAAGGAGUAGCUGGAAUUUCCCUGGGACUCCGCAGCUGCCCAGGUGGCUCUGAAAGCCUUUGGGUGCGACACCUUCCCAGAGGCUGAAGUGACUCACUCAGCCCCUCCUCGGAAGAAUUCGCUCCACGCUGCUCCUAGCACAGGCGAAAAGAGGCUUGAAUUCCAAGGGGGAGCAGAUGUCAGAAUUCAAAGCCACCGUGUGCCUCAUCUGGAGUCCUGAGGGAAACACUCAGACCAGGGAUUGCUGCUACUGUUGCUGAGACUCUUUCCAUGUGGCUGGGAGUCGCUGUGUCCAUUGGGAAGAACGGGAGAGCUCCCAGAAGAGCCUUCUGCCAGAGAAAGAGGUGAUGGGAUGAAAGAGCGGCUUUAAAGACACAGCGAUGAAGAGACGAAGAGGGAACUACAUCCGCUGAGCAGGAAAAGCUCUAGUUUGGCCAAAGCCGGGCCAAGCUGAAUAGAGCAAGCUCCAUAUGGAAGGAAAGGCAAAAGUGGCCAUGAAGGAACAAGCUGGUCCUUGGACUUUGGGGACAGCAGGGGCGCUGCGGUUGGGCUGUAACUGAGCAAUACUCCCUGCUGAUUUAGGCGUAACUGCACCCGGGGAUUUGGAGGCUGAUGGGGGCUGGAGGAAAGAAUUGAUCCUUGGUUGCGAACUAAAAUCCUGCUCUGAUUCAAUUUGCCGAAAGUGACAGAUCCAAGCGGGCUGCGAACUCUCCUGGUUGUUAACGUUUUAACUCAUUUGACCUGACUGCGGGUAGUUUCAUUUCAUGCAGGUAGCCGUGGUCAAACCGCAAUAGCUUUGGGGGUUCAGAAAAGCAUCCUGGAAGCCAGAUGCUUGUCUGAACAAUGUGAGUCUGCACAACUGGGCCAGUCAGCUCACAAGAACAGACCAUCUUGUGAGAUAAUAGGCACUUCCUGCUUCUGGAUGGGCCAGAAUUACUGCAAGAACUGGGCUUCUUGUGCUACUUUGGUGCUUUUCUUUCCGGCCAGAACCAGGAAGUGGAAUGGUGUGUGAAAAACAAUCAUGUGAGUGAAAAUUGACCCAACUUUUUUGAACUUCAAGAAAGUUUUGGUUCAUGUGUUGGGUGAAGGGUCAGGUUGGUUCUUAUUUCUUCCAAAUCCACCUGUCCCAUGUGUGUGUGUGUGUGUGCGUGCGCUGAGCAACCAAAUCAAUCCCAAUAACCAAAUUCUGCAGCAUUUUGUUACAUUUUGACUGAACUGAUGAUAUCUGAUGCAUACUCCAACGAUCAGUCAGCAAAAAUGCCCGGGGACCAGAUUGCGUGGAUGCCACAGGAAGCUGGUAGUUAGGUAGACCACCGGGGUAAAAAUCCUUUGUUUUGCAGUGCUCAGUACAAAGGCUUUUUCAGGGACCCCCAAUAUCCACUGGCGUUGUCUUUCGGCAUUUUCUUUUCCUGAACAUUUAUUCUCACUUUGCUAAAUAAAUGAAGCAAACCGAGCCAUGGCACCUUUUGGCCCUGGGAUUUUUGUCACCUGACCUUUAGAAGUAUGCAGAACUGGUACUGGUUUUAUUCCACUGGUUGCUCCUAGCAGA